CGUGCCAGCAGCCGCGGUAAUACGAGAGGCCCGAGCGUUAGGCGGAAUCACUGGGCUUAAAGGGUGCGUAGGCGGAUCAGUAAGCAUUUUGUGAAAUCCCUCGGCUCAACCGAGGAAUUGCAGAGUGAACUGCUGGUCUUGAGGUAGGCAGAGGUCAUCGGAACGUACGGUGGAGCGGUGAAAUGCGUAGAUAUUGGAAAGAACACCAAUGGCGAAGGCACUUUACUGGGCUAUUACUAACACUCAGAGACGAAAGCUAGGGUAGCAAAUGGGAUUAGAUACCCCAGUAGUCCUAGCUGUAAACAAUGGAUACUAGAUGUUGAACAGAUCGACCUGUGCAGUAUCAAAGCUAACGCGUUAAGUAUCC
rnacentral:rRNA from 11 species